UAUGUACUCACUUGGACUGCUUCGAUCGUCAAGUUGGUCUGUGUAUACCAAUUGCUGCAGCUGCUGAAGGUUCUUCUUGUGGUGCACAACAUUUCUGCAUAAACGGGAAAUGCGUACAUGAGACGACGUUAACAAUUCCAUUGGAAAUUGCAUCGCUACCCGACCAAUCCUCGACACCCGCCAGAUUAUAGAGACGUGUAACCUAAUCUUUGUUUGAUACACGUGUAUGGUGCAACAAUCAUCAACAACGCCAUCGAAUAACGCGCAAUGGUUAUCCAGGCUGCUGCCAAAUGCUGACUCUAAUGUAUACUGUACCUGAGCUGUUGUACAUAAUCUUAUCAGUGAGCAAAUGUACGUGGACCUCGUAAUGAUUUGUCAAAUUGUACAUGAACAUAACGAAGGAUAUUCAAUAAAAACAACACUCAUACAUAUA